GUAAUCGCUAGAGCUUCCGGCAGAACAUCCUGGCUUCCUGCUAUAUGAAUAUAUGAUGAUCACGAGGGUCAUCAUUAUGAACCAUAGACUAUAGACAUACAUUGACAACUGGAUAGCCGACUACCGCUACAGGAUAAUAUUGUAGUCGGGCAGCCAUAUGCCGACGCCCGACAGGGCAAAAUUACAUGGUGCAUAGUGCAUUGUCUAUUGAGUUAUGUUAUAAACAUUGUUCUGUUGACAAAUGGCCACACGACUUCAACAUUCCAGUAUAUCACAGGUUGCACUGGAAGCAAUAGCACAGUUUAUAUGAAAUAUUUUCAUAUAAAUUGUGACAGUAGCUAUGGGUAGGUUUUUGUUAAAUUUGAUAAAAACAUUUUUCUUUGCAGUCUACAACCACAGAAUUGAUUAAAUCCUUCAUAGAGUAGAGUAGACUUGUAAUUUUUUCUAAACACUCGCAAAUUAUAGCAAAACAUCACGCUGUUGUUUGAUACUAAUUCCAUAAUUUUUGGACGACUUGGGUUAAGUAUUGAUUUUAAAAACAAUGGUUUAAGUUAGGCUUAAACCAUUAU